UACGUAGGGUGCAGGCAUUAAUCGGAAUUACUGGGCGUAAAGCGUGCGCAGGCGGUUUGCUAAGACAGGUGUGAAAUCCCCGGGCUUAACCUGGGAACUGCGCUUGUAACUGGCAAGCUAGAGUGUGGCAGAGGGGGGUGGAAUUCCUGGUGUAGCAGUGAAAUGCGUAGAUAUCAGGAGGAAUACCGAUGGCGAAGGCAGGUCUCUGGGCUGAUACUGACGCUCAUGCACGAAAGCGUGGGGAGCAAACAGG
rnacentral:rRNA from 1 species